UUUCCGUAGGUGAACCUGCGGAAGGAUCAUUAGUAAGAAUCAUGCGCUCUCCUUGUCCUCGCGGCGACGGAGAAGCCAUCUCUCUUCACUACCCUGUGCACCGUGCAUUUUUUAUCGCGCUUGUAAAAGUCAAUGGACGUCUUAUCAAUUAUGAAAGGCACAAAAUUCAGCAGUGGAUCUCUUGGCUCUCGCAUCGAUGAAGAACGCAGC
rnacentral:misc_RNA from 1 species